CUGCUUUCUCAGGUGUGUGUGUAUGUGUCUGCAGUGAUCUGCUUUUUCAGGUGUGUGUGUCUGCAGUGAUCUGUUUACUCAGGUGUGUGUGUGUAUACAGCGAUCUGCUUUCUCAGGUGUGUGUGUGUCUGCAACGAUCUGCUUUCUCAGGUGUGUGUGUGUCUGCAGCGAUCUGCUUUCUCAGGUGUGUGUGUGUGUCUGCAGCAAUCUGCUUUUUCAGGUGUGUGUGUCUGCAGUGAUCUGCUUUCUCAGGUGUGUGUGUUUCUGCAGCGAUCUGCUUUCUCAGGUGUGUGUGUGUGUCUGCAGUGAUCUGUUUACUCAGGUGUGUGUGUGUAUACAGCGAUCUUCUUUCUCAGGUGUGUGUGUGUCUGCAACGAUCUGCUUUCUCAGGUGUGUGUGUGUCUGCAGCGAUCUGCUUCCUCAGGUGUGUGUGUGUGUCUGCAGCGAUCUGCUUUCUCAGGUGUGUGUGUUUCUGCAGCGAUCUGCUUUCUCAGGUGUGUGUGUGUGUCUGCAGCGAUCUGCUUUCUCAGGUGUGUGUGUGUCUGCAACGAUCUGCUUUCUCAGGUGUGUGUGUGUCUGCAGCGAUCUGCUUUCUCAGGUGUGUGUGUGUCUGCAACGAUCUGCUUUCUCAGGUGUGUGUGUGUCUGCAGCGAUCUGCUUUCUCAGGUGUGUGUGUGUCUGCAACGAUCUGCUUUCUCAGGUGUGUGUGUGUCUGCAGCGAUCUGCUUUCUCAGG